GGCUGGUCCAAGUUCAGUGGUGUUUACAACUAAUUGAUCACAACCAGUUACAGAUUCCUUUGUUCCUUCUCCACUCCCACUGCUUCACCUGACUAGUUAAAA
rnacentral:Y_RNA from 1 species